GGGCUUCCUGAAGGUAUUAGGUUUUGGGGCUAGGGUAAGGUUUAAGGUUUUUGGCAUUAGGGUUAAAAUCACUGUCCAAAACCUUUUAAGGAACAAGAUUCAGACCUUUUGGAGUUGGUUACACCAAAAAAAAUGUAAAAUGAAAAAAAAAAAUAUUUGGGGUGUUAGGGCUUCCUGAAGGUAAUACCCGGGCAUUAGGUUAUGGGGCUAGGGUAAGGUUAAAGGUUUUUGGCGUUAGGGUUAAAAUCACUGUCCAAAACCUUUUUAGGAACAUGUUUCAGACCUUUUGGAGUUGGUUACACCAAAAAAAAUGUAAAAUGAAAAAAAAAUUUUUUUGGGUGUUCGGGCUUCCUGAAGGUAAUACUAGGUUUCUGGGCUAGGGUAAUGUUUAAGGUUUUUGGCGUUAGGGUUAAAAUCAAUGUCCAAAACCUUUGGAGGAACUCUUUUCCAACCUUUGAGAGAAAGUUAGACCAAAAAAAAAAAGAAAAAUAAAAAAUAUAUAUUUGGGGUGUUCGGGCUUCCUGAAGGUAAUACCCGGGUAUUAGGUUUUGGGGCUAGGAUUAGGUUUAAGGUUUUUGGCGUUAGGGUUAAAAUCACUGUCCAAUAUUUUUUAAGGAACAUGUUUCAGACCUUUUGGAGUUAGUUAGACCAAAAAAAAAGAAAAAAGAAAAAAAAAUAUUUGGGGUUUUCGGGCUUCCUGAAGGUAUUAGGUUUUGGGGCUAGGGUAAGGUUUAAGGUUUUUGGCGUUAGGGUUAAAAUCACUGUCCAAAACCUUUUAAGGAACAAGAUUCAGACCUUUUGGAGUUGGUUACACCAAAAAAAAUGUAAAAUGAAAAAAAAAAAUAUUUGGGGUGUUCGGGCUUCCUGAAGGUAAUACCCUUCAGGUUUAAGUAUUAGGUUAUGGGGCUAGGAUUAGGUUUAAGGUUUUUGGCGUAAGGGUUAAAAUCACUGUCCAAUAUUUUUUAAGGAACAUGUUUCAGACCUUUUGGAGUUAGUUAGACAAAAAAAAAAGAUAAAUGAAAAAAAAAUAUUUGGGGUGUUGGGGCUUCCUGAAGGUAAUACCCGGGUAUUAGGUUAUGGGGCUAGGGUAAGGUUUAAGGUUUUUGGCGUUAGAGUUAAAAUCAGUGUCCAAAACCUUUUUAGGAACAUGUUUCAGACCUUUUGGAGUUGGUUACACCAAAAAAACAUGUAAAAUGAAAAAAAAAUAUUUGGGGUGUUCAAGUUUCCUGAAGGUAAUACCCGGGUUUUAGGUUUUGGGGCUAGGGUAAGGUUUAAGGUUUUUGGUGGAAGGGUUAAAAUCACUGUCCAAAACCUUUGUAGGAACUCUUUUCCAACCUUUUGGAGUUAGUUAGACCAAAAAAAAGGAAAAAAGAAAAAAAUAUAUUUGGGGUGUUCGGGCUUCCUGAAGGAAAUACCCAGGUAUUAGGUUAUGGGGCUAGGGUAAGGUUUAAGGUUUUUGGCGUUAGGGUUGAAAUCACUGUCCAAAACCUUUUUAGGAACACGUUUCAGACCUUUUGGAGUUGGUUACACCAAAAAAAAAUGUAAAAUGAAAAAAAAUAUAUUUGGGGUCUUCGGGCUUCCUGAAGGAAAUACCCAGGUAUUAGGUUAUGGGGCUAUAGUAAGGUUAAAGGUUUUUGGCGUUAGGGUUAAAAUCACUGUCCAAAACCUUUGUAGGAACUAUUUUCCAACCUUUUGGAGUUAGUUAGACCAAAAAAAAAAACGAAAAAUGAAAAAAAAUAUUUGGGGUUUUUGGGCUUCCUGAAGGUAAUACCCGGGUAUUAGGUUUUGGGGCUAGGGUAAGGUUUAAGGUUUUUGGCGUUAGAGUUAAAAUCAGUGUCCAAAACCUUUUUAGGAACAUGUUUAAGACCUUUUGGAGUUGGUUACACCAAAAAAAAAGAAAAAAGAAAAAAAUAUAUUUGGGGUCUUCGGGCUUCCUGAAGGAAAUACCCGGGUAUGAGGUUAUGGGGCUAGGGUAAGGUUUAAGUUUUUUGGCGUUAGGUUUAAAAUCACUGUCCAAAAUCUUUUUAGGAACAUGUUUAAGACCUUCUGGAGUUGGUUACACCAAAAAAAUGUAAAAAGAAAAAAUAUAUAUUUGGGGUGUUCGGGCUUCCUGAAGGUAAUACCCGGGUAUUAGGUUUUGGGGCUAGGUUAAGGUUUAAGGUUUUUGGCGUGAGGGUUAAAAUCACUGUCCAAAACCUUUGUAGGAAGUCUUUUCCAACCUUUUGGAGUUAGUUAGACAAAAAAAAAAAGAUAAAUGAAAAAAAAAUAUUUGGGGUGUUCGGGCUUCCUGAAGGUAAUACCCGGGUAUUAGGUUAUGGGGCUAGGGUAAGGUUUAAGGUUUUUGGCGUAAGGGUUAAAAUCACUGUCCAAAACCUUUUUAGGAACAUGUUUCAGACCUUUUGGAGUUGGUUACACCAAAAAAAAUGUAAAAUGAAAAAAAAAAUAUUUGGGGUGUUCGGGCUUCCUGAAGGUAAUACCCUUCAGGUUUAAGUAUUAGGUUAUGGGGCUAGGAUUAGGUUUAAGGUUUUUGGCGUAAGGGUUAAAAUCACUGUCCAAUAUUUUUUAAGGAACAUGUUUCAGACCUUUUGGAGUUAGUUAGACAAAAAAAAAAGAUAAAUGAAAAAAAAAUAUUUGGGGUGUUCGGGCUUCCUGAAGGUAAUACCCGGGUAUUAGGUUAUGGGGCUAGGGUAAGGUUUAAGGUUUUUGGCGUUAGAGUUAAAAUCAGUGUCCAAAACCUUUUUAGGAACAUGUUUCAGACCUUUUGGAGUUGGUUACACCAAAAAAAAAUGUAAAAUGAAAAAAAAAUAUUUGGGGUGUUCAAGUUUCCUGAAGGUAAUACCCGGGUUUUAGGUUUUGGGGCUAGGGUAAGGUUUAAGGUUUUUGGUGGAAGGGUUAAAAUCACUGUCCAAAACCUUUGUAGGAACUCUUUUCCAACCUUUUGGAGUUAGUUAGACCAAAAAAAAGGAAAAAAGAAAAAAAUAUAUUUGGGGUGUUCGGGCUUCCUGAAGGAAAUACCCAGGUAUUAGGUUUUGGGGCUAGGUUAAGGUUUAAGGUUUUUGGCGUGAGGGUUAAAAUCACUGUCCAAAACCUUUGUAGGAAGUCUUUUCCAACCUUUUGGAGUUAGUUAGACAAAAAAAAAAAAAGAUAAAUGAAAAAAAAAUAUUUGGGGUGUUCGGGCUUCCUGAAGGUAAUACCCGGGUAUUAGGUUAUGGGGCUAGGGUAAGGUUUAAGGUUUUUGGCGUAAGGGUUAAAAUCACUGUCCAAAACCUUUUUAGGAACAUGUUUCAGACCUUUUGGAGUUGGUUACACCAAAAAAAAUGUAAAAUGAAAAAAAAUAUAUUUGGGGUGUUCGGGCUUCCUGAAGGUAAUACCCUUCAGGUUUAAGUAUUAGGUUAUGGGGCUAGGAUUAGGUUUAAGGUUUUUGGCGUAAGGGUUAAAAUCACUGUCCAAUAUUUUUUAAGGAACAUGUUUCAGACCUUUUGGAGUUAGUUAGACAAAAAAAAAAAGAUAAAUGAAAAAAAAAUAUUUGGGGUGUUCGGGCUUCCUGAAGGUAAUACCCGGGUAUUAGGUUAUGGGGCUAGGGUAAGGUUUAAGGUUUUUGGCGUUAGAGUUAAAAUCAGUGUCCAAAACCUUUUUAGGAACAUGUUUCAGACCUUUUGGAGUUGGUUACACCAAAAAAAAAUGUAAAAUGAAAAAAAAAUAUUUGGGGUGUUCAAGUUUCCUGAAGGUAAUACCCGGGUUUUAGGUUUUGGGGCUAGGGUAAGGUUUAAGGUUUUUGGUGGAAGGGUUAAAAUCACUGUCCAAAACCUUUGUAGGAACUCUUUUCCAACCUUUUGGAGUUAGUUAGACCAAAAAAAAGGAAAAAAGAAAAAAAUAUAUUUGGGGUGUUCGGGCUUCCUGAAGGAAAUACCCAGGUAUUAGGUUAUGGGGCUAGGGUAAGGUUUAAGGUUUUUGGCGUUAGGGUUGAAAUCACUGUCCAAAACCUUUUUAGGAACACGUUUCAGACCUUUUGGAGUUGGUUACACCAAAAAAAAAUGUAAAAUGAAAAAAAAUAUAUUUGGGGUCUUCGGGCUUCCUGAAGGAAAUACCCAGGUAUUAGGUUAUGGGGCUAUAGUAAGGUUAAAGGUUUUUGGCGUUAGGGUUAAAAUCACUGUCCAAAACCUUUGUAGGAACUAUUUUCCAACCUUUUGGAGUUAGUUAGACCAAAAAAAAAAAACGAAAAAUGAAAAAAAAUAUUUGGGGUUUUUGGGCUUCCUGAAGGUAAUACCCGGGUAUUAGGUUUUGGGGCUAGGGUAAGGUUUAAGGUUUUUGGCGUUAGAGUUAAAAUCACUGUCCAAAACCUUUUUAGGAACAUGUUUAAGACCUUUUGGAGUUGGUUACACCAAAAAAAAAGAAAAAAGAAAAAAAUAUAUUUGGGGUCUUCGGGCUUCCUGAAGGUAAUACCCGGGUAUGAGGUUAUGGGGCUAGGGUAAGGUUUAAGUUUUUUGGCGUUAGGUUUAAAAUCACUGUCCAAAAUCUUUUUAGGAACAUGUUUAAGACCUUCUGGAGUUGGUUACACCAAAAAAAAUGUAAAAAGAAAAAAUAUAUAUUUGGGGUGUUCGGGCUUCCUGAAGGUAAUACCCGGGUAUUAGGUUUUGGGGCUAGGUUAAGGUUUAAGGUUUUUGGCGUGAGGGUUAAAAUCACUGUCCAAAACCUUUGUAGGAAGUCUUUUCCAACCUUUUGGAGUUAGUUAGACAAAAAAAAAAAAGAUAAAUGAAAAAAAAAUAUUUGGGGUGUUCGGGCUUCCUGAAGGUAAUACCCGGGUAUUAGGUUAUGGGGCUAGGGUAAGGUUUAAGGUUUUUGGCGUAAGGGUUAAAAUCACUGUCCAAAACCUUUUUAGGAACAUGUUUCAGACCUUUUGGAGUUGGUUACACCAAAAAAAAUGUAAAAUGAAAAAAAAAUUUUUUUGGGUUUUCGGGCUUCCUGAAGGUAAUACUAGGUUUCUGGGCUAGGGUAAUGUUUAAGGUUUUUGGCGUUAGGGUUAAAAUCAAUGUCCAAAACCUUUGUAGGAACUCUUUUCCAACCUUUGGGAUUAAGUUAGACAAAAAAAAAAAAGAUAAAUGAAAAAAAAAUAUUUGGGGUGUUCGGGCUUCCUGAAGGUAAUAGGUUUUGGGGCUAGGGUUAGGUUUAAGGUUUUUGGCAUAAGGGUCAAAAUAACUGUCCAAUAUUUUUUAAGGAACAUGUUUCAGACCUUUGGGAGUUAGUUAGACAAAAAAAAUGUAAAAAGAAAAAAAAAAUAUUUGGGGUGUUAGGGCUUCCUGAAGGUAAUACCUGGGUAUUAGGUUAUGGGGCAAGGGUUAGGUUUAAGGUUUUUGGCGUUAGGGUCAAAAUAACUGUCCAAUAUUUUUUAAGGAACAUGUUUCAGACCUUUGGGAGUUAGUUAGACAAAAAAAAAAGAAUAAGAAAAAAAAAAUAUUUGGGGUGUUAGGGCUUCCUGAAGGUAAUACCCGGGUAUUAGGUUAUGGGGCUAGGGUAAGGUUUAAGGUUUUUGGCGUUAGAGUUAAAAUCAGUGUCCAAAACCUUUUUAGGAACACGUUUAAGACCUUUUGGAGUUGGUUACACCAAAAAAAAAUGUAAAAUGAAAAAAAAUUUUUUUUGGGUGUUCGGGCUUCCUGAAGGUAAUACUAGGUUUCUGGGCUAGGGUAAUGUUUAAGGUUUUUGGCGUUAGGGUUAAAAUCAAUGUCCAAAACCUUUGUAGGAACUCUUUUCCAACCUUUGAGAGCAAGUUAGACCAAAACAAAAAUAAAAAUAAAAAUAUAUAUUUGGGGUGUUCGGGCUUCCUGAAGGUAAUACCCGGGUAUUAGGUUAUGGGGCUAGGGUAAGGUUUAAGGUUUUUUGGCGUGAGGGUAAAAAUCACUGUCCAAAACCUUUGUAGGAACUCUUUUCCAACCUUUGGGAUUAAGUUAGACAAAAAAAAAAAAAAGAUAAAUGAAAAAAAAAUAUUUGGGGUGUUCGGGCUUCCUGAAGGUAAUACCCGGGUAUUAGGUUUUGGGGCUAGGGUAAGGUUUAAGGUUUUUGGCGUAAGGGUCAAAAUAACUGUCCAAUAUUUUUUAAGGAACAUGUUUCAGACCUUUGGGAGUUAGUUAGACAAAAAAAAAAAGAAAAAGAAAAAAAAAAUAUUUGGGGUGUUCGGGCUUCCUGAAGGUAAUACCCGGGUAUUAGGUUAUGGGGCUAGGGUAAGGUUUAAGGUUUUUGGCGUUAGAGUUAAAAUCAGUGUCCAAAACCUUUUUAGGAACAUGUUUAAGACAUUUUGGAGUAGGUUACACCAAAAAAAAUGUAAAAUGAAAAAAAAAAUAUUUGGGGUGUUCGGGCUUCCUGAAGGUAAUACCCGGGUAUUAGGUUUUGGGGCUAGGGUAAGGUUUAAGGUUUUUGGUGGUAGGGUUAAAAUCACUGUCCAAAACCUUUGUAGGAACUCUUUUCCAACCUUUUGGAGUUUGUUAGACCAAAAAAAAGGAAAAAAGAAAAAAAUAUAUUUGGGGUGUUCGGGCUUCCUGAAGGAAAUACCCAGGUAUUAGGUUAUGGGGCUAGGGUAAGGUUUAAGGUUUUUGGCGUUAGGGUUGAAAUCACUGUCCAAAACCUUUUUAGGAACACGUUUCAGACCUUUUGGAGUUGGUUACACCAAAAAAAAAUGUAAAAUGAAAAAAAAUAUAUUUGGGGUCUUCGGGCUUCCUGAAGGAAAUACCCAGGUAUUAGGUUAUGGGGCUAUAGAAAGGUUAAAGGUUUUUGGCGUUAGGGUUAAAAUCACUGUCCAAAACCUUUGUAGGAACUAUUUUCCAACCUUUUGGAGUUAGUUAGACCAAAAAAAAAAACGAAAAAUGAAAAAAAAAAUUUGGGGUUUUUGGGCUUCCUGAAGGUAAUACCCGGGUAUUAGGUUUUGGGGCUAUAGAAAGGUUAAAGGUUUUUGGCGUUAGGGUUAAAAUCACUGUCCAAAACCUUUGUAGGAACUAUUUUCCAACCUUUUGGAGUUGGUUACACCAAAAAAAAUGUAAAAUGAAAAAAAAUAUAUUUGGGGUCUUCGGGCUUCCUGAAGGAAAUACCCAGGUAUUACGUUAUGGGGCUAUAGGAAGGUUAAAGGUUUUUGGCGUUAGGGUUAAAAUCACUGUCCAAAACCUUUGUAGGAACAUGUUUCAGACCUUUUGGAGUUGGUAACACCAAAAAAAAAUGUAAAAUGAAAAAAAAAAUAUUUGGGGUGUUCAAGCUUCCUGAAGGUAAUACCCGGGUAUUAGGUUUUGGGGCUAGGGUAAGGUUUAAGGUUUUUGGUGUUAGGGUUAAAAUCACCGUCCAAAACCUUUGUAGGAACUCUUUUCCGACCUUUUGGAGUUAGUAAGACCAAAAAAAAAGAAAAAAGAAAAAAAUAUAUUUGGGGUCUUCGGGCUUCCUGAAGGAAAUACCCGGGUAUGAGGUUAUGGGGCUAGGGUAAGGUUUAAGGUUUUUGGCGUUAGGUUUAAAAUCACUGUCCAAAACCUUUUUAGGAACAUGUUUAAGACCUUUUGGAGUUGGUUACACCAAAAAAAAUGUAAAAAGAAAAAAUAUAUAUUUGGGGUGUUCGGGCUUCCUGAAGGUAAUACCCGGGUAUUAGGUCAUGGGGCUAGGGUAAGGUUUAAGGUUUUUGGCGUAAGGGUUAAAAUCACUGUCCAAAACCUUUUUAGGAACAUGUUUCAGACCUUUUGGAGUUGGUUACACCAAAAAAAAUGUAAAAUGAAAAAAAAAUUUUUUUGGGUGUUCGGGCUUCCUGAAGGUAAUACUAGGUUUCUGGGCUAGGGUAAUGUUUAAGGUUUUUGGCGUUAGGGUUAAAAUCAAUGUCCAAAACCUUUGUAGGAACUCUUUUCCAACCUUUGAGGGCAAGUUAGACCAAAAAUAAAGAAAAAUAAAAAAUAUAUAUUUUGGGUGUUCGGGCUUCCUGAAGGUAAUACCCAGGUAUUAGGUUUUGGGGCUAGGGUUAGGUUUAAGGUUUUUGGCGUUAGGGUUGAAAUCACUGUCCAAAACCUUUUUAGGAACACGUUUCAGACCUUUUGGAGUUGGUUACACCAAAAAGAAAUGUAAAAUGAAAAAAAGUAUAUUUGGGGUCUUCGGGCUUCCUGAAGGAAAUACCCAGGUAUUAGGUUAUGGGGCUAUAGAAAGGUUAAAGGUUUUUGGCGUUAGGGUUAAAAUCACUGUCCAAAACCUUUGUAGGAACUAUUUUCCAACCUUUUGGAGUUAGUUAGACCAAAAAAAAAACGAAAAAUGAAAAAAAAUAUUUGGGGUUUUUGGGCUUCCUGAAGGUAAUACUCGGGUAUUAGGUUUUGGGGCUAGGGUAAGGUUUAAGGUUUUUGGCGUUAGAGUUAAAAUCAGUGUCCAAAACCUUUUUAGGAACAUGUUUAAGACCUUUUGGAGUUGGUUACACCAAAAAAAAUGUAAAAUGAAAAAAAAAAUAUUUGGGGUCUUCGGGCUUCCUGAAGGAAAUACCCAGGUAUUAGGUUAUGGGGCUAUAGUAAGGUUAAAGGUUUUUGGCGUUAGGGUUAAAAUCACUGUCCAAAACCUUUGUAGGAACAUGUUUCAGACCUUUUGGAGUUGGUAACACCAAAAAAAAAUGUAAAAUGAAAAAAAAAAUAUUUGGGGUGUUCAAGGUUUCUGAAGGUAAUACCCAGGUAUUAGGUUUUGGGGCUAGGGUAAGGUUUAAGGUUUUCGGUGUUAGGGUUAAAAUCACCGUCCAAAACCUUUGUAGGAACUCUUUUCCGACCUUUUGGAGUUAGUUAGACCAAAAAAAAAGAAAAAAGAAAAAAAUAUAUUUGGGGUCUUCGGGCUUCCUGAAGGAAAUACCCGGGUAUGAGGUUAUGGGGCUAGGGUAAGGUUUAAGGUUUUUGGCGUGAGGGUUAAAAUCACCGUCCAAAACCUUUGUAGGAAGUCUUUUCCAACCUUUUGGAGUUAGUUAGACAAAAAAAAAAAAAGAUAAAUGAAAAAAAAAUAUUUGGGGUGUUUGGGCUUCCUGAAGGUAAUACCCGGGUAUUAGGUCAUGGGGCUAGGGUAAGGUUUAAGGUUUUUGGCGUAAGGGUUAAAAUCACUGUCCAAAACCUUUUUAGGAACAUGUUUCAGACCUUUUGGAGUUGGUUACACCAAAAAAAAUGUAAAAUGAAAAAAAAUUUUUUUUUGGGUGUUCGGGCUUCCUGAAGGUAAUACUAGGUUUCUGGGCUAGGGUAAUGUUUAAGGUUUUUGGCGUUAGGGUUAAAAUCAAUGUCCAAAACCUUUGUAGGAACUCUUUUCCAACCUUUGAGGGCAAGUUAGACCAAAAAUAAAGAAAAAUAAAAAAUAUAUAUUUUGGGUGUUCGGGCUUCCUGAAGGUAAUACCCGGGUAUUAGGUUUUGGGGCUAGGGUUAGGUUUAAGGUUUUUGGCGUUAGAGUUAAAAUCAGUGUCCAAAACCUUUUUAGGAACAUGUUUAAGACCUUUUGGAGUUGGUUACACCAAAAAAAAUGUAAAAUGAAAAAAAAAAAGUAUUUGGGGUGUUCGGGCUUCCUGAAGGUAAUACCCGGGUAUUAGGUUAUGGGGCUAGGGUAAGGUUUAAGGUUUUUGGCGUGAGGGUUAAAAUCACUGUCCAAUAUUUUUUAAGGAACAUGUUUCAGACCUUUUGGAGUUAGUUAGACCAAAAAAAAAGUAAAAAGAAAAAAAUAUAUUUGGGGUGUUCGGGCUUCCUGAAGGUAUUAGGUUUUGGGGCUAGGGUAAGGUUUAAGGUUUUUGGCGUUAGGGUUAAAAUCACUGUCCAAAACCUUUUAAGGAACAAGAUUCAGACCUUUUGGAGUUGGUUACACCAAAAAAAAUGUAAAAUGCAAAAAAAAAAUAUUUGGGGUGUUCGGGCUUCCUGAAGGUAAUACCCUUCAGGUUUAAGUAUUAGGUUAUGGGGCUAGGAUAAGGUUUAAGGUUUUUGGCGUAAGGGUUAAAAUCACUGUCCAAAACCUUUUUAAGGAACAUGUUUCAGACCUUUUGGAGCUAGUUUGACCAAAAAAAAAAAGAAAAAGAAAAAAUAUAUAUUUGGGGUGUUCGGGCUUCCUGAAGGUAAUACCCAGGUAUUAGGUUAUGGGGCUAGGGUAAGGUUUAAGGUUUUUGGCGUAAGGGUUAAAAUCACUGUCCAAAACCUUUUUAGGAACAUGUUUCAGACCUUUUGGAGUUGGUUACACCAAAAAAAAUGUAAAAUGAAAAAAAAAAUAUUUGGGGUGUUUGGGCUUCCUGAAGGUAAUACCCGGGUAUUAUGUUUUGGGGCUAGGGUAAGGUUUAAGGUUUUUGGUGUUAGGGUUAAAAUCACUGUCCAAAACCUUUGUAGGAACUCUUUUCCGACCUUUUGGAGUUAGUUAGACCAAAAAAAAAGAAAAAAGAAAAAAAUAUAUUUGGGGUGUUCGGGCUUCCUGAAGGUAAUACCCGGGUAUUAGGUUAUGGGGCUAGGGUAAGGUUUAAGGUUUUUGGCGUUAGGGUUAAAAUCACUGUCCAAAACCUUUUUAGGAACAUGUUUCGGACCUUUUGGAGUUGGUUACACCAAAAAAAAAUGUAAACUGAAAAAAAAAUAUUUGGGGUGUUCAAGCUUCCUGAAGGUAAUACCCGGGUAUUAGGUUUUGGGGCUAGGGUUAGGUUUAAGGUUUUUGGCGUUAGGGUUAAAAUCACUGUCCAAAACCUUUGUAGGAACUAUUUUCCAACCUUUGGGAAUAAGUUAGACAAAAAAAAUAAGAUAAAUGAAAAAAAAAUAUUUGGGGUGUUCGGGCUUCCUGAGGGUAAUACCCGGGUUUUAGGUUUUGGGGCUAGGGUUAGGUUUAAGGUUUUUGGCGUUAGGGUUAAAAUAACUGUCCAAUAUUUUUUAAGGAACAUGUUUCAGACCUUUGGGAGUUAGUUAGACAAAAAAAAAAGAAAAAGAAAAAAAUAUAUUUGGGGUGUUCGGGUCUCCUGAAGGUAAUACCCGGGUAUUAGGUUAUGGGGCUAGGGUAAGGUUUAAGGUUUUUGGCGUUAGAGUUAAAAUCAGUGUCCAAAACCUUUUUAGGAACAUGUUUAAGACCUUUUAGAGUUGGUUACACCAAAAAAAAAUGUAAAAUUAAAAAAAAAAUAUUUGGGGUGUUCGGGCUUCCUGAAGGUAAUACCCGGGUAUUAGGUUAUGGGGCUAUAGUAAGGUUUAAGGUUUUUGGCGUUAGGGUUAAAAUCACUGUCCAAAACUUUUGUAGGAACUCUUUUCCAACCUUUUGGAGUUAGUUAGAACAAAAAAAAAAAAAUGAAAAAAAUAUAUUUGGGGUCUUCGGGCUUCCUGAAGGAAAUACCCGGGUAUUAGGUUAUGGGGCUAGUGUAAGGUUUAAGGUUUUUGGCGUUAGGGUUAAAAUCACUGUCCAAAACCUUUUUAGGAACAUGUUUCAGACCUUUUGGAGUUGGUUACACCAAAAAAAAAUGUAAAAUGAAAAAAAAAUAUUGGGGUGUUCAAGCUUCCUGAAGGUAAUACCCGGGUAUUAGGUUAUGGGGCUAUAGUAAGGUUUAAGGUUUUUGGCGUUAGGGUUAAAAUCACUGUCCAAAACCUUUGUAGGAACUAUUUUCCAAACUUUUGGAGUUAGUUAGACCAAAAAAAAACGAAAAAUGAAAAAAAAUAUUUGGGGUUUUCGUGCUUACUGAAGGUAAUACCCGGGUAUUAGGUUUUGGGGCUAGGGUUAGGUUUAAGCUUUUUGGCGUUAGGGUUAAAAUCACUGUCCAAUAUUUUUUAAGGAACAUCUUUCAGACCUUUGGGAGUUAGUUAGACAAAAAAAAAAGAAAAAGAAAAAAAAUAUUUGGGGUGUUCGGGCUUCCUGAAGGUAAUACCCGGGUAUUAGGUUAUGGGGCUAGGAUUAGGUUUAAGGUUUUUGGCGUUAGGGUUAAAAUCACUGUCCAAAACCUUUUUAGGAACAUGUUUAAGACCUUUUGGAGUUGGUUACACCAAAAAAAAUGUAAAAAGAAAAAAUAUAUAUUUGGGUUCAUAUUUGGGUUUUUAUUUCAAGUUCAACAAUUGCAACAACCUCAAGUUCAAAAACCGCCACAAACUCAAGUUCAAAAACACCACAAACUCAAGUUCAAAAACACAACACACCCUCAAGUUCAAAAACACCAAAAACUCAAGUUCAAAAACACCACAAACACAGUUCAAACACGAAACAAACUCAAGUUCAAAAACACCACAAACUCAAGUUCAACAAUUGCCACCAAUUAAAGUUCACCAAAAACCACAGACUCAAGUUCAACAAUUGCCACAAACUCAAGUUCAAAAAAAUUAAGUUCAAAAAACACACAAAUUCAAGUUCAACAAACAACACGAACUCAAGUUCAAACACGACACAAACUCAAGUUCAACCAACAACCAAAUCUCAAGUUUAACAAUUGCCACAACCUAGAGUUCAACAAACGCCACAACUCAAGUUCAACAAACACACAAACUCAAGUUCAAAAAGACCACAAACUCAAGUUCAAACAUGACACAAACUCAAUUUCAACAAACACAGAAACUCAAAUUCAACCAAUACCCAAUUCUCAAGUUUAACAAAUUCCACACCCUCAAGUUCAAAAACACCAAAAACUCAAGUUCAAAAACACGACACAAACUCAAGUUCAAAAACAACAGAAACUCAAGUUCAAACAUAACACAAACUCAAGUUCAACAAACACACAAGCUCAAUUUCAAAAACACGACACAAACUCAAGUUCAAAAACAACAGAAACUCAAGUUCAACAAACGCCAAAAACUCAAGUUCUAACACGGACAAACUCAAGUUCAAAAACAACAGAAACUCAAGUUCAAACAUAACCCAAUUCUCAACUUUAAAAAAUGUCACACCCUCAAGUUAAAAAUAAACACAACUUCAAGUUCAAAAACACCACAAACUCAGGUUCAAACACUACAAAAACCCAAUUUAAAAACACAAAAAACGCAAGUUCAACCAAUACCAAAUUCUUAAGUUUAACAAUUUCCUCAACCUCAAGUGCAAGACCACCAAAAACUCAAGUUCAAAAAUAACACAAUUUCAAGUUCAACAAACACACAAACUCAAGUUCAUAAACACCACAAACUCAAGUUCAAACACACCACAAACUCAAGUUAAAAAAAAAACAAACUCAAGUUCAACCAACACCCGAUUAUACGGUUUAACAAUUUCCACAACCUCAAGUUCAAAAAAACAGAAACUCAAGUUCAAAAAAACACAAAAACUCAAGUUCACCAAACAUGCAAAUUCAAGUUAAAAAAACCCAUAAACUCAAGUUCAAACACGACACAAACUCAAGAUCAAAAACACAAAAAAAUCAGUUCAACCAAUACCCAAUUCUCAAGUUUAACAAUUUCCACAACCUCAAGUUCAAAAACACCACAAACUCAAGUUCAAAAACACCAUAAACUCAAGUUCAAACACGAAACAAACUCAAGUUCAAAAACACAAAAAACUCAAGUUCAACCAAUACCCAAUUCUCAAGUUUAACAACUUCCACAAGCUCAAUUUCAAAAACACCAAAAAUUCAAGUUCAAAGACACCAAAAACUCAAGUUCAAACAUGAAACAAACUCAAGUUAAAAAACACCACAAACUCAAGUUCAACCAAAACCCAAUUCUCAACUUUAAAAAAUUUCACACCCUCAAGUUAAAAAUAAACACAACUUCAAGUUCAAAAACACCACAAACUCAGGUUCAAACACUACAAAAACCCAAUUUAAAAACACAAAAAACGCAAGUUCAACCAAUACCCAAUUCUUAAGUUUAACAAUUUCCUCAACCUCAAGUGCAAGACCACCAAAAACUCAAGUUCAAAAAUAACACAAUUUCAAGUUCAACAAACACACAAACUCAAGUUCAUAAACACCACAAACUCAAGUUCAAACACACCACAAACUCAAGUUAAAAAAAAAAACAAACUCAAGUUCAACCAACACCCGAUUAUACGGUUUAACAAUUUCCACAACCUCAAGUUCAAAAAAACAGAAACUCAAGUUCAAAAAAACACGAAAACUCAAGUUCACCAAACAUGCAAAUUCAAGUUAAAAAAACCCAUAAACUCAAGUUCAAACACGACACAAACUCAAGAUCAAAAACACAAAAAAAUCAGUUCAACCAAUACCCAAUUCUCAAGUUUAACAAUUUCCACAACCUCAAGUUCAAAAACACCACAAACUCAAGUUCAAAAACACCAUAAACUCAAGUUCAAACACGAAACAAACUCAAGUUCAAAAACACAAAAAACUCAAGUUCAACCAAUACCCAAUUCUCAAGUUUAACAACUUCCACAAGCUCAAUUUCAAAAACACCAAAAAUUCAAGUUCAAAGACACCAAAAACUCAAGUUCAAACAUGAAACAAACUCAAGUUAAAAAAAAACAAACUCAAGUUCAAACACAACACAAACUCAAGUUCAACAAACACACAAACUCAAGAUCAAAAACACCAAAAACUUAAGUUCCAACACAACACAAACUAAAGUUCAACAAACACUAACUCAAGUUCAUCCAACACCUGAUUCUCAAGUUAAACAAUUUCCACAAACUCAAGUUCAGAAAAACCCCACAAACUCAAGUUCAACCAAUACCAAAUUGUCAAGUUAAACAAAUUCCAAACCCUCAAGUUUAAACACGACACAAACUCAAGUCCAAAAAAACCACAACCUCAAGUUCAAACACACAAACUCAAGUUCAAAAACACCACAAGCUAAAGUUCAAACGUGACACAAACUCAAGUUCAACAAACACACAAACUCAAGUUAAACCAACACCUGAUUCAAAGGUUUAACAAUUUCCAAUACCUCAAGUUCAAAAACAACAGAAACUCAAGUUCAAAAACACCACAAACUCAAGUUCAAACACGACACAAACUCUAGUAAAAAACACAAAAAAAUCAAGUUCAAAUAUACCCAAUUCUCAAGUUCAACAAUUUCCACAAACUCAAGUCCAAAAAAACCACAACCUCAAGUUCAAACACGCAAACUCAAAUUCAAAAACACCACAAUUUCGAGCUCAAACACGACACAAACUCAAGUUAAAAAAAAAAAUACUCAAGUUCAAUCAACACCUGAUUCUCAAGUUUAACAAGUUCCACAACCUCAAGUUGAAAAAUGACACAAACUCAAGUACAAAACACCACAAACUCAAGUUCAAAAACACCACAACCUCAAGCUUAAAAAACAGCACAAACUGAAGUUAAAACACAACACAAUCUCUUGUUCAACCAACACACAAACUCAAGUUCAACCAAUACCCAAUUCUCAAGUUUCACAAUUUCCAACACCUCAAGUUCAAAAACACCACAAACUCAAGUUCAAAAACACCACAAACUCAAGUUCAAAGACACCAAAAACUAAAGUUCAAAAAACACACAAACUCAAGUUCAAACACGACACAAACUCUAGUAAAAAAACACAAAAAAAUCAAGUUCAACAAUACCCAAUUCUCAAGUUUCACAAUUUCCAACACCUCAAGUUCAAAAACACCACAAACUGAAGUUCAAAAACACCACAAACUCAAGUUCAAACGCGAUUCAAACUCAAGUUCAAAAACACCACAAACUCAAGUUCAAAGACACCAAAAACUAAAGUUCAAAAAACACACAAACUCAAGUUCAAACAAGACACAAACUUAAGUUCAACAAACACACAAACUCAUGUUCAACAAAUGCCAAACUUUUAAGUUGAACCAACACCCAAAUCUCAAGUUCAACAAUUGCCACAACCUAGAGUUCAAAAACACCACAAACUCAAGUUCAAAAACACAACACACCCUCAAGUUCAAAAACACCAAAAACUCAAGUUCAAAAACACCACAAACACAGUUCAAACACGAAACAAACUCAAGUUCAAAAACACCACAGACUCAAGUUCAACAAUUGCCAAAAUCUCAAGUUCAGAAACAACAAACUCAAGUUCAAAAAACACGCAAACUCAAAUUCAAAAACACCACAAUUUCGAGCUCAAACACGACACAAACUCAAGUUAAAAAAAAAAAUACUCAAGUUCAAUCAACACCUGAUUCUCAAGUUUAACAAGUUCCACAACCUCAAGUUGAAAAAUGACACAAACUCAAGUACAAAACACCACAAACUCAAGUUCAAAAACACCACAACCUCAAGCUUAAAAAACAGCACAAACUGAAGUUAAAACACAACACAAUCUCUUGUUCAACCAACACACAAACUCAAGUUCAACCAAUACCCAAUUCUCAAGUUUCACAAUUUCCAACACCUCAAGUUCAAAAACACCACAAACUCAAGUUCAAAAACACCACAAACUCAAGUUCAAAGACACCAAAAACUAAAGUUCAAAAAACACACAAACUCAAGUUCAAACAAGACACAAACUUAAGUUCAACAAACACACAAACUCAUGUUCAACAAAUGCCAAACUUUUAAGUUGAACCAACACCCAAAUCUCAAGUUCAACAAUUGCCACAACCUAGAGUUCAACAAACUCAAGUUCUCACACGAAACAAACUCAAGUUCAAAAACACCACAAACUCAAGUUCAAAAACACAACACACCCUCAAGUUCAAAAACACCAAAAACUCAAGUUCAAAAACACCACAAACACAGUUCAAACACGAAACAAACUCAAGUUCAAAAACACCACAAACUCAAGUUCAACAAUUGCCACCAAUUAAAGUUCACCAAAAACCACAGACUCAAGUUCAACAAUUGCCACAAACUCAAGUUCAAAAAAAUUAAGUUCAAAAAACACACAAAUUCAAGUUCAACAAACAACACGAACUCAAGUUCAAACACGACACAAACUCAAGUUCAACCAACAACCAAAUCUCAAGUUUAACAAUUGCCACAACCUAGAGUUCAACAAACGCCACAACUCAAGUUCAACAAACACACAAACUCAAAUUCAACCAAUACCCAAUUCUCAAGUUUAACAAAUUCCACACCAAGUCCAAAAAAACCACAACCUCAAGUUCAAACACACAAACUCAAGUUCAAAAACACCACAAGCUAAAGUUCAAACGUGACACAAACUCAAGUUCAACAAACACACAAACUCAAGUUAAACCAACACCUGAUUCAAAGGUUUAACAAUUUCCAAUACCUCAGGUUCAAAAACAACAGAGCUCAAGUUCAAAAACACCACAAACUCAAGUUCAAACACGACACAAACUCUAGUAAAAAAACACAAAAAAAUCAAGUUCAACGAUACCCAAUUCUCAAGUUGAACAAUUUCCACAACCUCAAGUUCAAAAACACCAAAAACUCAAGUUCAAAAACACCACAAACUCAAGUUUAAACACGACACAAACUGAAGUUCAACAGUUGCCACAAAUUCAAGUUCAAACACAAAACAAAUUCAAGUUCAAAAUCACAACAAACUCAAGUUCAACCAAUACCCAAUUCUCAAGUUUAACAAUUUCCACAACCUCAAGUUCAAAAACAUCACAAACUCAAGUUCAACAAACAUCACAAACUCAAGUUCAACCAAUACCCAAUUCUAAAGUUUAACAAAUUCCACACCCUCAAGUUCAAAAUCACCACAAACUCAAGUUCAAAAACCCCAUUAACUCAAGUUCAAACACAACACAAACUCAAUUUCAACAAACGCCACAAACUCGAGUUCAAACAAGAAACAAACUCAAGUUCAGAAAAACCACUAACUCAAGUUCAAACACAACACAAACUCAUGGUCAACAAACACCACAAACUAAAUUUCCAACAUGAUACAAACUCAAGUUCAACAAACACACUAACUAAAGUUCAUCCAACACCUGAUUCUCAAGUUUCAAAAUUUCAAGGUCACCAAACACGCACCUCAAGUUCAAAAACACCACAAACUGAGGUUCAAACACUACACAAACCUAAUUUAAAAAACACCACAAACUCAAGUUAAACCAAAACCCAAUUCUCAAGUUUAACAAAUUCCACACCCUCAAGUUCAAAAACACCACAAACUCAAGUUCAACAAACGCCACAAACUCAAGUUCAAACACGACACAAAUCAAGUUCAAAAACCCCACAAACUCAAGUUCAAACACAAACUCAAGUUCAACAAACACACAAAAUCAAGUUAAAAAACACCACAAACUCAAGUUCAAACUCGACACAAACUCAAGUUCAACAAAAACACAAACUCAAGUUAAACCAAUACCCAAUUCUCAAGUUUAACAAAUUCCACACCCUCAAGUUCAAAAAACCAGAAAACUCAAGUUCAAAAACACCACAAACUCAAGAUCAAACACGACACAAACUAAAGUUCAACAAACGCCAGAAACCCAAGUUCAAACACGACACAAAUUCAAGUUCAAAAACAACAGAAACUCAAGUUCAAAAAACACACAAACUCAAGGUCACCAAACACGCACCUCAAGUUCAAAAACACCACAAACUCAGGUUCAAACACUACACAAACCUAAUUUAAAAAACACCACAAACUCAAGUUCAACCAAAACCCAAUUCUCAAGUUUAACAAAUUACACACCCUCAAGUUCAAACACAACACAAACUCAAGUUAAACAAACACACUCAAGUUAAAACACGACACAAACUCAAGUUCAAAAACACCACAAACUCAAGUUCAAACACAAACUCAAGUUCAACAAACACACAAAAUCAAGUUAAAAAACACCACAAACUCAAGUUCAAACUCGACACAAACUCAAGUUCAACAAAAACACAAACUCAAGUUCAACCAAUACCCAAUUCUCAAGAUUAACAAAUUCCACACCCUCAAGUUCAAAAACACCAAAAUCUAAAGUUCAAAAACACCACAAACUCAAGUUCAAACACGACACAAACUGAAGUUCAACAAUUGCCACAAAUUCAAGUUCAAACACAAAACAAAUUCAAGUUCAAAAUCACCACAAACUCAAGUUCAACCAAUACCCAGUUCUCAAGUUUAACAAUUUCCACAACCUCAAGUUCAAAAACAUCACAAACUCAAGUUCAACAAACAUCACAAACUCAAGUUCAACCAAUACCCAAUUCUAAAGUUUAACAAAUUCCACACCCUCAAGUUCAAAAACACAAAAAACUCAAGUUCAAAAACACCAUUAACUCAAGUUCAAACACAACACAAACUCAAUUUCAACAAACGCCACAAACUCAAGUUCAAACAAGAAACAAACUCAAGUUCAAAAAAACCACAAACUCAAGUUCAAACACAACACAAACUUUCGUUCAACAAACACCACAAACUAAAUUUCCAACAUGAUACAAACUCAAGUUCAA
rnacentral:lncRNA from 1 species